AUGGGUGCUAAGGAAUUACGGAAAAAAUUGCAUGAAAAACACUCUGUCGCAAUUUCAUAUGACACGGUUUGGAGGGGAAAAGAAAAAGCUCUCGCUGAGGUUUAUGGUAAAUGGGAAGAGAGUUUUGAGAUGCUGUACAGAUGGAAGGCUGAGGUACUCAAGAGGUCACCUGGAAGUUUUGUGGAGAUUGAAGUACUGGAAAUAGAUGGUAAUGUGUACUUUCAUCGGUUUUUUUGUGCACUUAAAUCAUGCAUUGAUGGUUUUCUGGAAGGAUGUAGGCCACAUCUAAGUAUAGAUUCUACUGCAUUGAAUGGAAGGUGGAAUGGCCAUUUAGCCUCGGCUACAGCAGUUGAUGGUCACAAUUGGAUGUAUCCACUUGCUUUUGGGUUCAUAGCAUCUGAGACGGAAAACAAUUGGACUUGGUUUAUGAAUCAGCUUAAGAAGGCAAUAGGAGAUCCUCCACUUCUUGCAGUGUGCACAGAUGCGUGCAAAGGCUUGGAGAAUGCGGUGAAGAAUGUGUUCCCGAAUGCUGAACAAAGGGAAUGUUUUUACCAUCUUAUGAAGAAUUUUGUGAAAAGGUUCCAUGGGUUUGGAAGGAUGUAUCCGGCAGCAAGGGCUUAUAGGGAAGAGGUGUUCACAGAACAUAUGGCAAAAAUUAUUAAAGAAUCAAAUGAAGUAUGGAACUGGCUAAUCAAUACCAUACUCUCAAGUGGAUGA
rnacentral:rRNA from 1 species